rnacentral:rRNA from 1 species
CCUACGGGUGGCAGCAGUGGGGAAUAUUGCACAAUGGGGGAAACCCUGAUGCAGCGACGCCGCGUGAAGGAAGAAGUAUUUCGGUAUGUAAACUUCUAUCAGCAGGGAAGAAAAUGACGGUACCUGACUAAGAAGCCCCGGCUAACUACGUGCCAGCAGCCGCGGUAAUACGUAGGGGGCAAGCGUUAUCCGGAUUUACUGGGUGUAAAGGGAGCGUAGGCGGUUUAGCAAGUCAGAAGUGAAAGCCCGGGGCUCAACUCCGGGACUGCUUUUGAAACUGUUGAACUAGAUUGCAGGAGAGGUAAGUGGAAUUCCUAGUGUAGCGGUGAAAUGCGUAGAUAUUAGGAGGAACACCAGUGGCGAAGGCAUCUCACGAAUCCGCGAUUGACGCUGAUGCACGAAAGCGUGGGUAUCAAACAGGAUUAGAUACCCGUGUAGUC